rnacentral:rRNA from 1 species
CAAUAGCGUAUAUUAAAGUUGUUGCAGUUAAAAAGCUCGUAGUUGGAUUUCUGGUGGGAGCACGGGUCGGCCCUCACGGGUUGUACUGUUGUUGCGUCCCGCCGUUUCGGAGGGAAUGGUCUCGCUAUUAAGUUAGCGUGAUCGGGAACUCUGUCGUUUACUGUGAAAAAAUUAGAGUGUUCAAAGCAGGCCUUCGCUGUGAAUACAUUAGCAUGGAAUAAUAAGAUAGGACCGCGUGGUCGUCUUGUGGUUUGCACCGCGAGGUAAUGAUUAAUAGGUACAGUUGGGGGUAUUCGUAUUUAAUUGUCAGAGGUGAAAUUCUUGGAUUUAUGAAAGACGAACUUCUGCGAAAGCAUUUUACCAAGGAUGUUUUCAUUAAUCAAGAACGAAAGUUAGGGGUAUCGAAGAUGAUCAGAU